AUUGAACGCUGGCGGCAGGCCUAACACAUGCAAGUCGAGCGAGCGGCGGACGGGUGAGUAAUGUAUGGGGACUGCCCGAUAGAGGGGGAUAACUACUGGAAACGGUGGCUAAUACCGCAUACUAGCGGAUGACCCAUAUGGGAUUAGCUAGUAGGUGGGGUCAAGGCUCACCUAGGCGACGAUCUCUAGCUGGUCUGAGAGGAUGAUCAGCCACCCUGGGACUGAGACGCGGCCCCGACUCUGACGGAGGCAGCAGUGGGGAAUAUUGCACAAUGGGCGCAAGCCUGAUGCAGCCAUGCCGCGUGUAUGAAGAGGGCCUUCGGGUUGUAAAGUACUUUCAGCGGGGAAGCGUUACCCACAGAAGAAGCACCGGCUAACUACGUGCCAGCAGCCGCGGUAAUUC
rnacentral:rRNA from 1 species